rnacentral:rRNA from 1 species
GACGAACGCUGGCGGCGUGCUUAACACAUGCAAGUCGAACGGAAAGGCCCUGCUUGCAGGGUGCUCGAGUGGCGAACGGGUGAGUAACACGUGGGUGAUCUGCCCCUUACUUUGGGAUAAGCCUGGGAAACUGGGUCUAAUACUGGAUAGGACCAUGCUGUAGGUGGUGUGGUGGAAAGAUUAGUUUCGGUAAGGGAUGAGCUCGCGGCCUAUCAGCUUGUUGGUGGGGUAAUGGCCUACCAAGGCGUCGACGGGUAGCCGGCCUGAGAGGGUGGGCGGCCACAUUGGGACUGAGAUACGGCCCAGACUCCUACGGGAGGCAGCAGUGGGGAAUAUUGCACAAUGGGCGCAAGCCUGAUGCAGCGACGCCGCGUGGGGGAUGACGGCCUUCGGGUUGUAAACUCCUUUCAGCCAUGACGAAGCCCUUGUGGUGACGGUAGUGGUAGAAGAAGCACCGGCUAACUACGUG